rnacentral:rRNA from 1 species
GACGAACGCUGGCGGCGUGCUUAACACAUGCAAGUCGAACGGUGAAGCGCCUUCCUUUUUGGUGGGUGUGGAUGAGUGGCGAACGGGUGAGUAACACGUGAGUAACCUGCCCCCUUCUUCUGGAUAACCGCAUGAAAGUGUGGCUAAUACGGGAUAUUCUGGGUCUGUCGCAUGAUGGGUCUGGGAAAGAUAUUGUUUCGGUGGGGGAUGGGCUCGCGGCCUAUCAGCUUGUUGGUGGGGUGAUGGCCUACCAAGGCGGUGACGGGUAGCCGGCCUGAGAGGGUGGACGGUCACGCUGGGACUGAGACACGGCCCAGACUCCUACGGGAGGCAGCAGUGGGGAAUAUUGCACAAUGGGCGCAAGCCUGAUGCAGCGACGCCGCGUGAGGGAUGGAGGCCUUCGGGUUGUGAACCUCUUUCGCCAGUGAAGCAGGCCUGCCUCGUUUGUGGGUGGGUUGACGGUAGCUGGAUAAGAAGCGCCGGCUUACUACGU